AAAAUAAAACAGAAACACUGUGUAGUGGCGCCUGUCCAACCAAAAAUAUCGGAUAACCGUCCCACGGUUUCCCCUUCCCUUAGACAUGCACCUUGCACCUUUUGGGCAGUUACGCGCAAGAAAAAAAUGACAUAAGUUAACAGCGGCUACUGUCAAGGUGUGGUGAGAAAAGGGGAAUGAGAGAACCAAGGGCUCAAGCGGAUGGAGAGUGGCUUGGGCAUGUUCUUUCCAAUUUUACUUGCGAUCCCAGACGGACGUCUGAGGAAAAUACUCAAGUAGUGCAGUGAAAGGAAAAAUUCUAACCUCGACCGUAAAUACCGCGUGUCCAUCGUGGCUAAGAUCUAGUCAAAAGAUCAGCCGACCAUUCCUACGUUUAUUAAGCGAAGGCCGAACCCAUCGGGUUUGGCCCUACUUAAUACCGUACGAAACACCGGUCGUAGUGCCGUAAGCCGUACCCGCUACAGUCUCGUCACCUUACCAAACAUAUAAAUACCCAGCGUCCCGAUCGACUACAGUAUGUGUUAGCCGUCUUCGCCCCCAAAUCUUCUUUCGGCGUGGCGCCUGCAUACAUGUGAGCAUCACUGUAUUUACCGCAGCGUGUACCGGCGUGGGUCCACACACAUACAAGCCUGCUGAAAAACGGUCGAUGGGUUUUUAUCUACGCGUGCAGUGACAUACAUAUGUACAUAUGUGUGAAAUUGACUAUUCCGUCUUCAGUGACUUUCGUCAUUGCUACGUCGCUUACGCCGCCCGAAUACGAACAGUAACGCUAAAGGAGAAGACAUUUACCGGUGCCGAAAUACUGUUUGCGUUGCUGAUGAAGUCAUUCGGUGUCUCGAUCAUGAUGGCUAUGCCCAUGCAUUUCUUCAUAUUAGAAUAAUACUUUGGAACCCCACUAUUGUACUGACCCUAGGAUUAACAUUAAAAGUAAAAUUCGUGUGA